GAUUAGCUCAGCUGGGAGAGCAUCUGCCUUACAAGCAGAGGGUCGGCGGUUCGAUCCCGUCAUCCUCCACCA
rnacentral:tRNA from 1 species